GGUAUAAUUCAAACAUGGCCGAUGUAGUGGAGAAGCUAGGUAGGGACUUAACUUCUCUUGGCCAUAGACCCCAAAGCUAUUUAUUUCCACAGAUGGCAGCAAAGCCAGUAUUGGCUGCAGCACCUGUCCAGAGUGUAGGUGAAUUGUCGGAAAGAGGGGGGAUGAACAUGGCUUGCCCAUUCCAAGAUGUGAGAAAAAUGCGCCACAUAAGUGAGUCAGCUGUUGCGUGAGUGUCUAAAGUGAU